GAUUAUGGCUCAGGAUGAACGCUAGCGACAGGCUUAACACAUGCAAGUCGAGGGGCAGCAUAAAGUAGCAAUACUUGGUGGCGACCGGCGCACGGGUGAGUAACGCGUAUGCAACCUACCUAUCAGAGGGGAAUAACCCGGCGAAAGUCGGACUAAUACCGCAUAAAACAGGGGCACCGCAUGGUGAUAUUUGUUAAAGAAAUUCGCUGAUAGAUGGGCAUGCGUUCCAUUAGGUAGUUGGUGAGGUAACGGCUCACCAAGCCGACGAUGGAUAGGGGAACUGAGAGGUUGGUCCCCCACACUGGUACUGAGACACGGACCAGACUCCUAUGGGAGGCAGCAGUGAGGAAUAUUGGUCAAUGGGCGGGAGCCUGAACCAGCCAAGUCGCGUGAAGGAAGAAGGAUCUAUGGUUCGUAAACUUCUUUGCAGGGGAAUAAAGUGCAGGACGUGUCCUGUUUUGUAUGUACCCUGAGAAUAAGGAUCGGCUAACUCCGUGCCAGCCGCUGC
rnacentral:rRNA from 1 species